CAGCACUGGUCUCAUUCACCUUUCUCCUGGUUUGCAAUCACUAUAGCCUGUGCGAUCUGCUUUGAGAGCCGCCAAGCUAGUUGCUGCUUCCUCCCACGUACUCCCUCCUAGCUUCUUUGCCGCAACUGGCCGGAACAGAACUGUGUUUAUCUCUCCAUCCCUAAAUCUCUCACAAUACUCUUCCUUCACGUGAGCUCACCAUAUAUCAAAAAAAAAAAAAAAAA